GAUGAACGCUGGCGGCGUGCCUAACACAUGCAAGUCGAGCGAGAUGUAUAUGGACGAAACUUCGGUCUAGGAAAUAUAUUGACAGCGGCGGACGGGUGAGUAACGCGUAGGCAACCUGCCCUUAACGCAGGGAUAGCCUCGGGAAACCGGGAUUAAAACCUGAUAAUGCCAAAUAGUCACAUGGCUGUUUGGCCAAAGAUUUAUCGGUUAAGGAUGGGCCUGCGUCUGAUUAGUUUGUUGGUGGGGUAACGGCCUACCAAGACUACGAUCAGUAGCCGACCUGAGACGGUGAUCGGCGCCAUUGGAGCUGAGACACGGUCCAAACUCCUACGGGAGGCAGCAGUGGGGAAUAUUGCACAAUGGGCGAAAGCCUGAUGCAGCAACGCCGCGUGAGCGAUGAAGGCCUUUGGGUCGUAAAGCUCUGUCCUUGGGGAAGAAACAAAUGACGGUACCCAAGGAGGAAGCCCCGGCUAACUACGUGCCAGCAGCCGCAGUAA
rnacentral:rRNA from 1 species